GAUGAACGCUGGCGGCGUGCCUAAUACAUGCAAGUCGAGCGAACAGACGAGGAGCUUGCUCCUCUGACGUUAGCGGCGGACGGGUGAGUAACACGUGGAUAACCUACCUAUAAGACUGGGAUAACUUCGGGAAACCGGAGCUAAUACCGGAUAAUAUAUUGAACCGCAUGGUUCAAUAGUGAAAGACGGUUUUGCUGUCACUUAUAGAUGGAUCCGCGCCGCAUUAGCUAGUUGGUAAGGUAACAGCUUACCAAGGCAACGAUGCGUAGCCGACCUGAGAGGGUGAUCGGCCACACUGGAACUGAGACACGGUCCAGACUCCUACGGGAGGCAGCAGUAGGGAAUCUUCCGCAAUGGGCGAAGGCCUGACGGAGCAACGCCGCGUGAGUGAUGAAGGUCUUCGGAUCGUAAAACUCUGUUAUUAGGGAAGAACAAAUGUGUAAGUAACUAUGCACGUCUUGACGGUACCUAAUCAGAAAGCCACGGCUAACUACGUG
rnacentral:rRNA from 1 species